rnacentral:rRNA from 1 species
GAUGAACGCUAGCUACAGGCUUAACACAUGCAAGUCGAGGGGAAACGAUAGAGAAAGCUUGCUUUUUCUAGGCGUCGACCGGCGCACGGGUGAGUAACGCGUAUCCAACCUGCCCAUCACUUGGGGAUAACCUUGCGAAAGUAAGACUAAUACCCAAUGACGUCUCUAGAAGACAUCUGAAAGAGAUUAAAGAUUUAUCGGUGAUGGAUGGGGAUGCGUCUGAUUAGCUUGUUGGCGGGGUAACGGCCCACCAAGGCGACGAUCAGUAGGGGUUCUGAGAGGAAGGUCCCCCCACAUUGGAACUGAGACACGGUCCAAACUCCUACGGGAGGCAGCAGUGAGGAAUAUUGGUCAAUGGGCGAGAGCCUGAACCAGCCAAGUAGCGUGCAGGAUGACGGCCCUAUGGGUUGUAAACUGCUUUUAUAAGGGAAUAAAGUGAGUCUCGUGAGACUUUUUGCUAUGUACCUUAUGAAUAAGGACCGGCUAAUUCCGUGCCAGCAGCCGACGG